GACGAACGCUGGCGGCGUGCUUAACACAUGCAAGUCGAACGGAAAGGCCCUGCUUUCGUGGUGCUCUCGUGUGGCGAACGGGUGAGACACACGUGAGUACUCUCCUCCAGAUCUUGGUAAAAUUUCAGGACUCUGUGGCUUAUAGCGGAUGAGCGCUCUUGAUGCUUGGUGUUGGUUGGAAAUUUUGGGCGGUUGUGGAUGCACUCGCGGCUUAUGAGCUUGUUGGUUGGGGAGUGGCUUACCCAGGCUCUGAUGGGUAGCCGGCCUGAGAGGGUGACCGGCCACAUUGGGACUGAGAUACGGCCCAGACUCCUACGGGAGGCAGCAGGGGAGAAUUUUGCACAAUGGGCGGAAGUCUGAUGGAGCAACGCCGCGUGGGGGAAAAGGGCCUUCGGUGUAUAAACCGCUUGCGCCUGUGACGAAGCUGUUGUGACGGUAAUGAGUAAAGAAGCACCGGCUAACUACGUG
rnacentral:rRNA from 1 species